rnacentral:rRNA from 1 species
GAUGAACGCUGGCGGCGUGCCUAACACAUGCAAGUCGAGCGAUUCUCUUCGGAGAAGAGCGGCGGACGGGUGAGUAACGCGUGGGUAACCUGCCCUGUACACACGGAUAACAUACCGAAAGGUAUGCUAAUACGGGAUAACAUAUUUUAGUCGCAUGGCUGAGAUAUCAAAGCUCCGGCGGUACAGGAUGGACCCGCGUCUGAUUAGCUAGUUGGUGAGGUAAUGGCUCACCAAGGCGACGAUCAGUAGCCGACCUGAGAGGGUGAUCGGCCACACUGGAACUGAGACACGGUCCAGACUCCUACGGGAGGCAGCAGUGGGGAAUAUUGCACAAUGGGCGAAAGCCUGAUGCAGCAACGCCGCGUGAGCGAUGAAGGCCUUCGGGUCGUAAAGCUCUGUCCUCAAGGAAGAUAAUGACGGUACUUGAGGAGGAAGCCCCGGCUAACUACGUGCCAGCCGCCGC